rnacentral:rRNA from 1 species
CUUGUCCAAAAUCCUCCUGACAGAGUAUCACAACUCAUCGAUGUCACAUCGGCUUGCUGGAACGAGGGUCUGGUCCGAACGAUUUUUACUCACUUCGAUGCUGAGGCAAUUCUCAAGAUCCCACUUUGCAUGCGCUGUGUUGAGGACUUUUGGGCUUGGCAGCAUGAUCCUAGGGGAAGAUUUAGUGUUCGGUCAGCCUAUCACAUGAUUCUCAAGACAAAGCAUGACAUGGAAGCAUGGUUGCAUGAGAAGGGAGGCACCUCAUAUGAAUUCAGCGAGACCAACAACUGGUCCAUGAUUUGGCAUAUCCAAGUUCCCUCGAAACUCAAGAUGUUUCUAUGGCGACUAGCCCGACAGUCUAUGCCCACUGAGACUGUGUUGAAUCAUCAUCAUAUGUCAACAGAAAACACUUGUUUACUUUGUGGAGCCGUAGACACAUGGAAACAUGCACUGAUUACAUGUCCUAUGUCUGCAAGUAUAUGGGCACUCGCUCCUGAGGAUUUGGUGCACCACAUGACAGAACGAGAGGAGGAGAACCCGAAGGAUUGGCUGUUUGCUAUACAUGAAAUAUUAACAAAAGAGAUAUUUGAUCAUUUGGUGGUGUCACUUUGGGCGAUAUGGGGAGUUAGAAGGAAGGCCAUCCAUGAGAACAUCUUCCAGUCUCCCCACUCGGUCGAUAGUUUCAUAUCUAGCUACUUGGGUGAGCUGCAGGUGAUCAAUGCCAAGUCUCCGCCUGCCAAGAUGCAGAGAUCUGCGAACCCAAGGAAGUGGCUGCCCUCGUCGGCGGGGAAUGCCAAGAUAAACGUUGAUGCGGCUGAGUCUAGGCAAGGAUUCGGUUCUAUUGGAGUGAUCUGCAGAAAUCAUGAAGGCAUGUUCAUCGGCGCAUCAACUUUUGGUUUCAACAACAUUGUAGACCCACCGACCCUUGAAGCUCUAGCCAUUAGAGAAGCUCUAGCACUUGCAGAUGAUCUAUAUUUGAGGCGGGUUGAAGUUGCAUCGGAUUGCAAAGUGGUGGUGGAAGAUUUACAGAAGGAUAAUCUUGCGAGCCACGGGGAAAUUGUCCAUGAAAUAAUAGUUCACUCUUCAGCUUUCGAUUUUUGUAACUUUAAACAUGAAUUUAGGAGCUCCAAUUAUGAAGCUCACAACUUAGCGAGGCAUGCUUUAUCUCUCGGUGGUGGCCGCCGUGUCUGGUUAGGCCAUCCCGGGAACCUACCUUCCGUCCUUGUAAACAUUGUGACGAAUUAA